rnacentral:rRNA from 1 species
UUCCGGUUGAUCCCGCCGGAGGCGACCGCUUUUGGAGUUCGAUUAAGCCAUGCGAGUAGAAAGAAAUUAGAUUCUUUGCGAACUGCUCAGUAACACGCGGAUAACCUGCCCUAUGCUCCGGAAUAACCUCGGGAAACUGAGAAUAAUACCGGAUAGAUCACAACGCCUGGAACGGUGUGUGGUUGAAAGAUUACGGCAUAGGAUGGGUCUGCGGCGUAUCAGGUUGUAGGGGGUGUAACGGACCUCCUAGCCAUCGACGCGUACGGGUGUUGGGAGACAUAGCCCGGAGAUGGAUUCUGAGACACGAAUCCAGACCCUACGGGGUGCAGCAGGCGCGAAAACUUCACACUGCAGGAAACUGUGAUGAGGGAACUCCAAGUGCGCGCACUUAGUGUGCGCUUUUGUUGACUAUUAAUCGGUCAAUGAAUAAGGGCUGGGAAAGACCGGUGCCAGCCGCCGCGGUAAUACCGGCAGCUCAAGUGGUCGUCGCUUUUAUUGGGCCUAAAACGUCCGUAGCCUGUUUGGUAAAUCUGUGGGUAAAUCAACCAGCUUAACUGGUUGAAUUCUGCAGAGACUGCCAGACUAGGGACCGGGGGAGGGUGGGGUACUCUAGGGGUAGGGGUAAAAUCCUGUCAUCCUUAGAGGACCACCAGUUGCGAAGGCGCCACACUGGAACGGAUUCGACGGUCGGGGACGAAGCCUAGGGGCACGAACCGGAUUAGAUACCCGGGUAGUCCUAGGUGUAAACGCUGUGAACUUGGUGUCGGGAUCCGUA